rnacentral:rRNA from 1 species
CUACGGGCGGCUGCAGUGGGGAAUAUUGCACAAUGGGCGCAAGCCUGAUGCAGCCAUGCCGCGUGUAUGAAGAAGGCCUUCGGGUUGUAAAGUACUUUCAGCGGGGAGGAAGGGAGUAAAGUUAAUACCUUUGCUCAUUGACGUUACCCGCAGAAGAAGCACCGGCUAACUCCGUGCCAGCAGCCGCGGUAAUACGGAGGGUGCAAGCGUUAAUCGGAAUUACUGGGCGGAAAGCGCACGCAGGCGGUUUGUUAAGUCAGAUGUGAAAUCCCCGGGCUCAACAUGGGAACUGCAUCUGAUACUGGCGAGCUUGAGUCUCGUAGAGGGGGGUAGAAUUCCAGGUGUAGCGGUGAAAUGCGUAGAGAUCUGGAGGAAUACCGGUUGCGAAGGCGGCCCCCUGGACGAAGACUGACGCUCAGGUGCGAAAGCGUGUGGAGCAAACAGGAUUAGAUAUCCGUGUAGUC